rnacentral:lncRNA from 1 species
CUUUUCUUCAAAGGAUGGGUUGGAGCGUUAAAAAAUGUUGGUGGGUUUGGGCUCGCAGGAGGCGGCGCGCGGAGGGCGAGGGCGCUUUUGCUGAGCUGUGCAGUUCGGUCCGCUGAGCCCGGCGGCCCUGCCCGCCCGCUCGUCCGCCCGCGGUCGCUAGUGUUGCCGCCGCCGCCGCCGCCGCCGCCGCUGCUGCUCCAUGGCCGCGCCCGCCCCGCGCCCCCGCCGCGUCCCGUCGCCGCCCGCCCGCGUCCCCGAGAAUUGGACACUUGAUGAAGGGAAGGACACGGAGAGAUGACAAACGCAGACUGGCAUGCAGUUGUUUUCAGGGUGGGAAGAACAAAGUGGAAUGUCUUCAGUUCUUACAAAAUAUGGUGGCAUUUGUAAUCUCUGAGUUUUUGUAUUUGGCCUACAAAGGGGGUCUUUUCAGGGAAACACGAAUGGAACCCUUCAGAGACAUGUCUACAUUGUAAAACAAUAUAGGAUAGAUACGGAUUCGGGAAGGUCUGCAAAUGGUUCCGCUCAAAGAACUUGGGGUAAAGUUGACCGAGGACUCGGAUUCUGAGAGGACUCCUAUCACGUUCUUCAUGAGAGUUUUAGGCUAUUUGGACUGAGGAAUGAUUUGGAGGUACGUCGGGGGCAUUCCCUCACUGAGGCCAUCAGUGGCUGCCUCCCUGCAUUGGCUGCUGGUUUGAGUUCCUUCACAGAACUUCUUCGUCAAGUUUUUCAUAGGAACGCUGCAGUGAAGUGGAGUGAAAGAGACUGGGGAUUGAAGGGUGAACCCCUUCCAGCCCCAAUCCCAUCCCGAUUCCUGUCUGGAUGCAGAUUCAGUCUGACUCAGAACGGAUAGUUCACCCUUUUACUGAUCCAAGUGCUCUGUCCUCUUUUUUUCAGAGGAAUGUUCUGACUGGCUACAAACUUUUCUUCUGUCACUGCAGGACCUCCCGUGGAGCAAUUUUCGAUAGGUCUUCUACUAUGCUUUUUUACCGCGUCAUUGUUAUUGCUGAGAAAAUAAUGCUUAGUUAGGAAAAAAAAUAGCAGAGCAUAUGAGCUGAUGAUAGAAGUAGAGAUCAAGGCACAGAAUACAAUAUCAAAACAACUAUUCUCUGUAAUCAAAUGACCUUUCUCAUUUGCUUGUACACCCAGAUUUCUGAAAUCCUACACCAAAGUCCACAGAGAACUAAGAUAGCAUGUGGCCUAUUCCCCGCGCUUUUCCAGUGGAGAAAGUAGCCCCAGAAAUCAGAAGGGUUUGUCCACAAGCAUAUGGCUGUCUGAUGUCAUCCAAACCAGAACUAAAGCCUAUUGCCCUAGUCGUUUCCCUUCUAUAACCUAGGCGUAUUUACAGAGUCUUCCUUCCUGUGGUGUUGUGUGGAUUAGAAAAGUAGCUAAGAAAAGCACAUACCUUAUUAAAAUUCACUGCAAUAGAUGAUAAGUCUGUAGAAUUAUAGUGCAGUAGAAGUUUACCUGUGAGAUCAUCUAUUAGAAUCCCAUCUUUUUAAAACUGAGGAAACGAUGCACUACCCCAAGCCACUAAGUUAAUUCAAAGCCAGGAAUAGAUGCUAUGUUCCUUGACUUCUUAUCCAACGUUCCUUCCUUGUAUGUAGCCCAUCUCUGAAUCAUGAGAGGGGAGAGGAGAGAAAGGAAAGGAGGGAUAUUCUCACUCUCUUACAUAUAUAUGAAAAAAUAUAUAUGCCUCUGUGUGUGUGUGUGUGUGUGUGUGUGUACACACACCCAUAAUAAUGUUUCAGUGAACAACAGACCACAUAUAUUACUGUGAUCCCAUAUAAUAUAAUACUGUAUUUUUGCUGUACAUUUUCUGUGUUUAGAUACACAAAUACUUACCAUUGUGUUACAUUUGCCCACAGUAUUUAGUACAGUAAUAUUCUGUACAGGUUUGCAGCCUAGAAGCAAUAGGCUACCCCAUAUAGCCUGAGUGUGCAGUAGCCUAUAUCAUCUAGAUUUGUGUAAGUGCACUCCAUGAUGUUUGCACAAAGUCGCCUACUGAUGUAUUUCUCAGAACACCUCCCCAUAAGCUAAUUGACGCAUGAUUGGAGAUAUAUAUAUAUAUAUAUAUAUAUACACACACACAUAUAAAUAUAUAUACAUAUGUAAAAUAGAUACAAUAAAUAUUUUAUACACAUUAAUAUUUUUGGUAUAUAAUAAUAUAUUACAAAUAUAAAAAUUUUAAUAUAUGAUAAUAAAGGAUUUCUAAAAACUAAA